rnacentral:rRNA from 1 species
UCCUACGGGAGGCAGCAGUGGGGAAUAUUGCACAAUGGGCGCAAGCCUGAUGCAGCCAUGCCGCGUGUAUGAAGAAGGCCUUCGGGUUGUAAAGUACUUUCAGCGGGGAGGAAGGUGUUGUGGUUAAUAACCACAGCAAUUGACGUUACCCGCAGAAGAAGCACCGGCUAACUCCGUGCCAGCAGCCGCGGUAAUACGGAGGGUGCAAGCGUUAAUCGGAAUUACUGGGCGUAAAGCGCACGCAGGCGGUCUGUUAAGUCAGAUGUGAAAUCCCCGGCGUCAACCUGGGAACUGCAUUUGAAACUGGCAGGCUUGAGUCUCGUAGAGGGGG